CCGCACAUCGCGGAGCUGGCGAUCGCCCGGGGUCUGGGGUACUCGGAGGCCGAGUUCGACGCCCUGUGGGCGAA
rnacentral:tRNA from 1 species